CUUCAGGGCAGGGCGAGAUUCCCGACCGGUGGUAAAGUCCACGAGUUGUUUUUAUUUAUAAAAAUGACACGAACUGGUGCAAUUCCAGUACCGAUAGUUAUAGUCUAGAUGGUAGAAG
rnacentral:ncRNA from 1 species